UACGGGGGGGAGCAAGCGUUGUUCGGAUUUACUGGGCGUAAAGGGCGCGUAGGCGGCGUAACAAGUCACUUGUGAAAUCUCCGGGGCUUAACUCGGAGCGGUCAAGUGAUACUGUUGUGCUAGAGUGCGGAAGGGGCUACUGGAAUUCUCGGUGUAGCGGUGAAAUGCGUAGAUAUCGAGAGGAACACCUGCGGCGAAGGCGGGUAGCUGGGCCGACACUGACGCUGAAGCGCGAAAGCUAGGGGAGCGAACGGG
rnacentral:rRNA from 1 species